UCCAUCGUGGUGUAGUGGUUCAGCAUGCCAGGCUUUCAUUCUGGAGACCCGAGUUCGACUCUUGGCGAUGGAA